CAAUAAAUGAUGAUAGACUGUAAAUCUAUUUUAGUAAUUAUAAUAAAGCCCAGCC
rnacentral:tRNA from 1 species